rnacentral:ncRNA from 2 species
UAUAAUCCCGGCCACUUUGGCGCAACCUGCUUAAUAGGGAAUCCGGUGCAAAUCCGGAGCUGGCGCGCAGCGGUAAGGGGGAACGACGCGACAUUAUGGCACUGCCGUCAGGUGGGAAGCCGUCGCUAGGCUUUUGGCCCCCAAGCCCGAAGACCUGCCAAAGAUCGAGUUUCGGG